GAUUGAAAAAGCAUAUUGCACAUUAAGAAGUUAGUUUAUAGAAGGGAAAGAGACUGUGCAGAUCAUAUUUAGAAAUAGAGUAAGAUUUACAGUUGAAAUCAUGAGAACCAUUUUACUUGUUACUGUUUUAUCCUGUCUUCUGCUGCUCUCACAAGCUGCUUCAACUAGAGAAGAAGUAAAUGAGGUACACAGGGAGAGACGGGAAGCCAGACCAGUUGAUUUUGUUGACAUGAGCCCAGAGUUGAGAGAGAUUCUAGAAGGAGAGGAGGCCUCAGAUGAAGAAGUUCUCCUUCGGGCCAUGGGUCGCAACUAACAACAAACCAUCUCAAUUACAUAAUAUAUGAAUUCAAACAAUUUGGUACACCAUAAAGAAGAAAAGACAAAGUCAUACAAAGGCAUUUU